rnacentral:rRNA from 1 species
UGGGGAAUAUUGCACAAUGGGCGAAAGCCUGAUGCAGCAACGCCGCGUGAGUGAUGAAGGCCUUCGGGUUGUAAAGCUCUGUCUUCUGGGACGAUAAUGACGGUACCAGAGGAGGAAGCCACGGCUAACUACGUGCCAGCAGCCGCGGUAAUACGUAGGUGGCAAGCGUUGUCCGGAUUUACUGGGCGUAAAGGAUGCGUAGGCGGAUACUUAAGUCAGAUGUGAAAAUCCCGGGCUUAACUUGGGAACUGCAUUUGAAACUGGGGAUCUAGAGUGCGGGAGAGGAAAGUGGAAUUCCUAGUGUAGCGGUGAAAUGCGUAGAGAUUAGGAAGAACACCAGUGGCGAAGGCGACUUUCUGGACCGUAACUGACGCUGAGGCAUGAAAGCGUGG